UGCUUGCUAUCUAGUUGUCUCAAACACUCUUUUAUUUGAAGUAUUCAGGUAGUGCUGAGUGAAAGGUAUUUAUUUUUUCAUUUGCUUGCAGGUAAGACUGGAUUAUUGCAUGAUGCCUUGCAUUAGAAUUGGAGCUAUAAAGGAUGCUGCCGCCUGCGCGCUGAGCCCUGUGUGCUGAGAUGCCUGAGGAUACGAUGUGCCUGAUGUGCCAACCCUUCUGAGCUCCUCUUGCACGUCGCCUUCCCUCUGCUGUCCCCAGCCCCGGCAGGAGCCCAGGAAACUACUCGUGGUGUGAGCAUCAGCAAUGCCACGGCACCGUCUUCAGGCUCCGGGACCUGCUCUGCUGUCACCCAUCUCUUCAGAGUGUGUUUAAGGCACCCAAACUGCUGGUACCAAGGCGAGCACAGCUCUACCUCACCCGGAAUUUUACUCUCAGCCCCGUUAUUGGUGUUCCGACACGUGUUGGCUGGACAGUUGCUGUAGGACAGAUCAAGCAGUUCUUGUCUGAAAAUCUGGAGUCCAGUGUAACCAAGUGGAAAGUGAAGAUAUUUGCUGACGUAGAAAUAUUUUUAACAGGGAAAUGCAGCUGAAAAACUGAGAGCUUUUCAUGAGGUCUCAAAUGAAUGUAGCCCAGUCUUCUUCCAGAAAAAAAUGGUCAUCACCUGCAAAGCUUUCCCAGAGAGAUGAGAUGAGAAGGUAAUGCAAAGAGAAUAGAAAUACAUUUUGCGUGUUGAUUAAGUUUAUUUGUGAAGCAUUGUAUAUGACAUUAAUUGACACGUUAAAGCUCUCAAACGUGGCAUCAUCAGGCAUUCCUAAGACUUACAGUUAGUGAUUGUGGCCUAAAAUAUCCUUGAACUGAGCAAUUUUGCUGUUGUUUUCAUUUUGGUAUUUUCUGAAACUAUCCACCGGCUUCAGUCUGAAGUAAAGCUCUAAUUUUGAACUGCUGUUGCUUAUUCAUAGUAAUUUUCAACUCUUUUUGGCUUUUUCCUUGUGUACAAUAGCUUGCCCUCAAAAAAUAGCUGUCUGCAACCAGGAGGUUCUACUGAAGCUGGAAAUUGUCCAUGAAAAUUUGAACUGGGAAACAGUGGCUGAUGGUUUGGAGUGUCAGUUGAACAGUGUUCAUCAUGGUCACAAGUUAUAAACCCAAAUUAAACAUUUUGUGAAAUUUCUCUCGAGAAUAGUUGCACAAACCUAGUUGUGCCGUGUAAAAUUCAGCUCAGUCACCCAAACCUCUGGUGAUCUUUCAGCUGAGUUCAGGUGACACACAAAUUGGUGCCUUUAUAUAUAUACUCUGUGUAACCUGUGUUUCCUUUGGUAAAGAUACUUUUAAAGAUUAAGUAUUUUGUGAAAGAUAACUGCCCACAUGCAAGGUGAUUGUAACAGAAAAGUUAAACUGUAGUAUCUAUUUAGUAAUAAGGGUAAACUUUAUCAAAAAAGUAAGUCUUUUAUAAUUAGAAGUAAUCAGUGUACUUCAUGUAACCUGGCAGCAAAUGACUGUGCACCCACAGGGCUACUUAGGUUCAAAACCAAUUUGGUAAUCUUCCAACUGGAAAUUACAAUAAAUUAAGGUCAUUUCUCCA
ensembl:lncRNA